AAAUAACAUUAAGUGGAUCCCUAGACCUGUUGGGAAUUGAAUCACCAAUAGUCUGACCUAUAGGUAAAUUUCUCAUCCAGGUAUAAAAUUGCUGUUCAAAUUGUUGCACUAAUGGUACUUCCUCGCAUGCAGUCUGUUGGAGAGCUAGUGAGAAAUAAGGCUGAAAAUAAUUAAAAGUCAGAACUUGAAGGAUCUUGUAAGUAUGUCAUUGUGAAGGUUAUUAAAUUACAGGUUAAAUUAAUUCUGCUUUCCUCAGUUGUCCAAAUUCUCUGAACAAUGUUUUACUCCCACUGUAUCUUUCUAUCAUAGACUAAUCCACAAAACCUACUGCCAGGCCUGGAAAGCUAGAAGCUGGAAAAGGGAAGUGAGAGUUCAUUUUGUAUUCUGGAUGUCUGCUCUUCAUCUAUUCUGGUCACAUUUAUUAUAAAUGCUGAGAUGCAGAAGUGUCUGAGUUUGCACUAAUCUAGAGAAGUCUUCAGUCAAGAGUGCCUUGGGGUUGCGACUAAAUCUUAGACAAAAUUCAUAUGCAAAAGUCUCCAGCAUGACAAAGCUGAGGGUAAGAUUUUGCUUGAAAUAAGAACUUUGUUUAGAUUUCUCUCCUCUCUCCUGCUUUCUUCACUCCUCUAAUAGUUUCUUAUGGGAGCACUUCCUCAUGAAUUACUUGCAUUCAAGUCCUCAUCCUAUGGUCAGCUUUUGAAAAACUUGACUUAGAGAAGAAUCAUAAAAAAAGAUCCAAAAACUCCAGAACCUACACUUUUCAG
rnacentral:lncRNA from 1 species